rnacentral:tRNA from 1 species
GAGCAUAUAGCUCAGUGGUAGAGCGCAUGCCUAGCAUGUACGAGGUCUUGGGUUCAAUCCCCAGUACAUCCG